GCCGGGCGUGGUGGCUCAUGCCUGUAAUCCCAGCACUUUGGGAGGCCGAGGUGGGUGGAUCACCUGAGGUCAGGAGUUCGAGACCAGCCUGGCCAACAUGGUGAAAACCCGUCUCUA
ensembl:misc_RNA Metazoa_SRP Metazoan signal recognition particle RNA